UCCAGACUCCUACGGGAGGCAGCAGUGAGGAAUAUUGGUCAAUGGGCGGGAGCCUGAACCAGCCAAGUCGCGUGAGGGAAGACUGCCCUAUGGGUUGUAAACCUCUUUUGUCAGGGAGCAAUUGGCGCUACGUGUAGCGUUAUCGAGAGUACCUGAAGAAAAAGCAUCGGCUAACUCCGUGCCAGCAGCCGCGGUAAUACGGAGGAUGCGAGCGUUAUCCGGAUUUAUUGGGUUUAAAGGGUGCGUAGGCGGGCUGUUAAGUCAGCGGUCAAAUGUCGGGGCUCAACCCCGGCCUGCCGUUGAAACUGGCGGCCUCGAGUGGGCGAGAAGUAUGCGGAAUGCGUGGUGUAGCGGUGAAAUGCAUAGAUAUCACGCAGAACUCCGAUUGCGAAGGCAGCAUACCGGCGCCCUACUGACGCUGAGGCACGAAAGCGUGGGUAUCGAACAGGAUUAGAUACCCGGGUA
rnacentral:rRNA from 1 species